rnacentral:rRNA from 1 species
UACGUAGGGUGCAAGCGUUGUCCGGAAUUAUUGGGCGUAAAGAGCUCGUAGGCGGUCUGUCGCGUCGGCUGUGAAAUCCCGGAGCUCAACUCCGGGUCUGCAGUCGAUACGGGCAGACUGGAGUUCGGCAGGGGAGACUGGAAUUCCUGGUGUAGCGGUGAAAUGCGCAGAUAUCAGGAGGAACACCGGUGGUGUAGACGGCUCUCUGGACCAUAACUGACGCUGAGACACGAAAGCGUGGGUAGCAAACAGG